GGCCUUUCUAGGGAGUUUUUCCUAGGGAGUUUUUCCUAGCCACCGUGCUUCUUUCACAUGCUUUGCUUGCUGUUUGGGGUUUUAGGCUGGGUUUCUGUACAGCACUUUGAGAAUAUCAGCUGAUGUACGAAGGGCUAUAUAAAAAUAAAUUUGAUUUGAUGUCCCAAAUGGCACCCUAUUCACUUUAUAGCGCACUACUUUAUAGUAGUGCACUAUAUUAAAUAGGGAAUAGUGUUCCAUUUAGGACAGCACCCGUGUGAACUCCCAGGCCCCUGACGUAUUACUCGUCCUAUCACUUAGAGAAGUGUAUGAGCCGGAAGGCUCUCCGCAGAAUGUAUUAACACAGAUGUGAUCCCAUUUGUCUCUAGGUGCCCCUCCCAGGGUGAGUUAUUGUGCGACACCUUCCCAUCACACACACACACACACACAGCCCUGCUUGCCUGGCGUCUUUCUACAGAUUCUCCGUCCAGUGAGACUGAAAAUGUCUGAGUUGCACAGCAGUGACCAACUCCCCAUACAGCAGCCAAACACUGACUCCCUGGACACAUGGGUCAAAUUCCUCCUAUUCGCGGUCUCAUGACCCUGUUAUAGAGGCUCAGUGGCCCAUAUUAGGCAGACAGACAGUAAAACACCUGUGUUUUCAGCCCCAGUGGAGAGGCUACAGCAUCAGUGAAAGCUCUAAGGGAGACACAUGGGCAUCAGUUAUGGAUGUGGAGUCCACUGCUUGAACGCUGACUAAGGAAUCAUCUAAAGGGAAAGGUCACCUAGUGAGACUAAUUUUCCAUCCUCGUUUGGGGGAAGAUCUUGCUAGCCCUAUGGGGCCUUGCUAGGAGCCUCAGGGAACAUCCCAGGGGAGAGAUUAUGUUGGUUUCUGUUUGUGUGUCCUCUCCAGAAGUAGCCAGUGGUGGUUGUGAGUGUGUUCCCUCAGACCCCUAAAGGUUGGGAGGGAGGAAUGCUGGGCUGAUCUACAGAGGGUCAGGCUGUUGGGGGAGAACAGCAUAUCUAGGUCCGGAUCUCAGCCCUUAAGCCACUCAACUCUACUGUCUGAAGAAGCACAGCACUGCUUGAAUGUCCCGUCCAACAUCCCCUCAUGCUGCUGAUCCCUGAAGAGGACUGGGUAACAUUCAUGUCCUCACCUCCCCAUUCGCCUCCCCCUAAGACAUACACACACACACACACACACAACCCCCCUGCCG
rnacentral:lncRNA from 1 species